CUGAAUUAUAAAAACUGUGCUAUCCUCAAGGUGGUUAAGGGCAAGGUUUCUGCCUCAGAUCUGCUCACCCAGCUCAACGGGAUCUUUUGUAAGAACAAAGAGUGGCCAUGGCAGAUCAGGGAACUGGAGAGUAAGAAGUUUCUGCUGAGAUUUCCACCUUGGAAAAAUGUAGAUGAUCUAAUUGAGUUCCCACCAUUUGAGCUACCUAUUGCUGGGGUGUCUGUCAAAAUUUGUGAAUGGGAAGGAAUGUUGGAUGAGUUUGGAGCACUUACUGAGGCUUGGGUGCAGAUCGAGGGGAUUCCACCUAAAUGGUGUGCUUGGAAAGUCUUUGCUCAGAUCACAGCAUGUUUUGGUAUACUGGUGGAUGUUGAUUGGAAUGAUAUUUUCAGGAGUUUUUAUGAAAUAAUCCGAGUCAAGGUUGCCUGCAGAGAUCCUAGGAAGAUUCCUUUUGAAAGAUUGGUGGAAAUGAAAAAGAAAUUCUACCUGCUGUUUUUUACAGUGGAAGGGUUU
rnacentral:rRNA from 1 species